rnacentral:rRNA from 1 species
AGUGAACGCUGGCGGCAGGCCUAACACAUGCAAGUCGAGCGGCAGCGCGGGGGCAACCCUGGCGGCGAGCGGCGGACGGGUGAGGAAUGCAUCGGAAUCUACCUCGUUGUGGGGGAUAACCUCGGGAAACCGGGACUAAUACCGCAUACGACCUACGGGUGAAAGUGGGGGACCUUCGGGCCUCACGCGAUGAGAUGAGCCGAUGCCGGAUUAGCUAGUUGGCGGGGUAAAGGCCCACCAAGGCGACGAUCCGUAGCUGGUCUGAGAGGAUGAUCAGCCACACUGGAACUGAGACACGGUCCAGACUCCUACGGGAGGCAGCAGUGGGGAAUAUUGGACAAUGGGCGCAAGCCUGAUCCAGCCAUGCCGCGCGUGUGAAGAAGGCC